rnacentral:lncRNA from 1 species
CAGGGCUCCCUGCAGUGUGGUGACCUCUUCUUGGCUUGUUUGUUUGUUUAUUGUGAGGCUAGGGAUCAAAGUCAGGGCCUCCAGCAUACUAGACAAGUGCUCUACCACUGACCUACAUCCUCAGCCCCUUUUCUUGUCUUCUAACUUACUAAAUUUGGCAACCCUGAAAAUGGACUUGUUUUCAAAAAAGGCUGGGAAAAAUUGGUGGGGAGUUAGAGUGAAGCCCCAGGAGCCACUACCUGUCCAGGAAGGUGAAGAAGAACCAAGAAGGAGGGACUAGAGAGACCAGAGAGGUUUACAGAAGACAUAGGUUGGGGCAGGGGUGCACAAGAUGAGUAGGAACCACAAUAUCUUCCCUGCCCAAAGGAAGGACUAAGGAGGGAGUGUUGGUCAGGAUGGUCUAUCAGGGAGUUAGUGUGGGGAGGGGGCAAAGAGUAAAUGGGGGAUGAGGGCAGGAACAACUCUGGAAAUAGGCUGGGUAAGAGGGAGAAGGAUAGAGAUAGAAGUAGAUAGAAGAAGUCCAGGGUUGAAGAAGUUUCUGAUCCAGAAAACAGUGUGCUCAUAACUGAGGGAUGAAUCCAAGAGAGGGCUGGCCAUAGACAGAUGAGAAGGACAGAGGAGAGCUUGAGUCACUGUGCUGGUAAGCCUGGGCAGAGAGUUCUCCCCUCUUGAUGCUCAGUUAUGGGUACAGCCAGCAGCAGCAGCCUCCACCUAGAGCUGGUCAUAAAUGCAGAACCUCUGGUCUUCCCCAAGGUUGGGGAAGUCACCUACAACCUGACCUACUUACCCACUUCCAUCACCAUUACCACCACCACCAUCACCACCACUACCAUCAUCCCACCACCACCACCACCAUCCCACUGGUGACAGUUACCACCAUCACUGUCACCACCAACAGCAUUCCACUAGUACAAUCACCACAAUCACCACUAUCCCACCACCACCACCAUCCUACCACUAUAGUUAUAAAAAAUAGAACCAUAGUAAGUAAAGUAAAUGAAAUCCUAUUAUUAAAACUACUGCAUGAAAGAAAGUGUUCUAAGCUUAUCUUGUGAUUUUUUACUUCAUUUUUUUUCUUGGUUGUGCUUGGCUGCUAGGGUACUUUGUGCCUCCUCAAUACCCUCUUUUUGGAGGAAGGGGUACCAGGGAUUGAACUCAGGGCACUCGACUCCUGUGCCACAUCCCCAGCCCUAUUUUGAAUUUUAUUUAGAGACAGGGUCUCACUGAGUUGCUUAGAGCCUCGCUUUUGCUGAGGCUGGCUUUAAACUUGUGAUCCUCCUGCCUCAGCCUUCAGAGCCGCUGGGAUUACAGGUGUGCACCUCCGAGUCUGGCUUGAUACCCUCUUGUGUGAAUUCUGUUCUUGAGUAAGGAGUAUCUCUGAGUGGGUAGUGAACAUUUUGACUUUUAAGUUUAAAAAUAACUUUUAUAAUUAGAAGUAUUUUACAAUUCUAAUUUGAGUUGAUAUAAACUUUCUAUGUUGUUAAAUGUUCUAACUUGUCUUUAUUUCUACAUUCUUCAUUAAUAAUUUUGCUGGGAUACACUGUUCAGGUUCAAAAGAUAUUUG